GAUGAACGCUAGCGGGAGGCUUAACACAUGCAAGUCGUGGGGCAGCACGGGGUAGCAAUAUCCUGGUGGCGACCGGCGCACGGGUGAGUAACGCGUAUGCAACCUACCCAGUACAGGGGGAUAGCCCGGAGAAAUUCGGAUUAAUACCCCAUAAUGAUAUUAAUAGGCAUCUUUUAAUAUUUAUAGCUACGGCGGUACUGGAUGGGCAUGCGUAAGAUUAGCUAGUUGGUAGGGUAACGGCCUACCAAGGCUCCGAUCUUUAGGGGUCCUGAGAGGGUGAUCCCCCACACUGGUACUGAGACACGGACCAGACUCCUACGGGAGGCAGCAGCGAGGAAUAUUGGUCAAUGGGCGCAAGCCUGAACCAGCCAUCCCGCGUGAAGGAAGAGGGCGCUAUGCGUUGUAAACUUCUUUUCCGGAGGAAUAAAAUUUUGUACGAGUACAGGACUGAAGGUACUCCGGGAAUAAGCAUCGGCUAACUCCGUGCCAGCAGCCGCGGUAACAC
rnacentral:rRNA from 1 species